AUAUUUUUAUUAUCUGUUAACUUAUAUUUUUAAAUUUCAUUUAUAUUUACUAAAUUGGCUACAUCAAUUCCAUUAUAUUACAUAUCUGUUUUUCAUUGUAUAUUGUGAAUUUCUCAAAAUGUAAGAUUGUUUGAGUAAGUCAACAAUUCCAUACUUUAAGUUCAUAAAUCAUUUUGUGCCUUUAUACAUGUAGUUGGGAUUUUUUGACAAUACAGACCAAAUAUUUGAGAAUAAUUAUUGCACUUACAGGAAAAUCUGCAUAGAACUAUAUAUGUGUCAGAUUUCAGCAUGUCAGUUCUUAUUUUUGCACUAUAUACUCAACCAUUAAUCCCAUUUAUGCAAAAAAAAAAUCUGAAUUUACAGAAGAUAAUAAAGUAAAACUUUUUGCAUACAGUUUAAUAGUGUAUUUUUUUCUAUUGAAGUGCAAUACGUUUAAACAUUCACAUGUAAAGCUACAUCAUCUUGAGGAAAAUCUCUAUUUUCAUAAUUGCUAGUUAAGGAGGUAGACCUAGGUUAAGG
rnacentral:lncRNA from 1 species